UGUCUCGUGGUGUAAUUGGCAACACGUCUGGUUUUGGUCCAGAAGAGUCCAGGUUCGAGCCCUGGCGAGACAA
rnacentral:tRNA from 1 species